UGCCCCCCCCCCCCCAAUCACCUCUAUUUUUUAUCUUAGUCCUGAGGGGCUGUACAGAACUAAAUAUAGUUGGAGAGCAUCUUUAUUUCCUUUUGGUGUGUGUGGUUUGACAGUUUUUUUUUUUUUCCUUCCCACACCCUCACUGAUCAAAAUUCCAAGCAAGUCCACUGUAGGGAUGCUGGAGGUCCUGGUUGUGCUGCUGAUGGGGGUCAGGGACAUCAGGUGUCUCUGCAACUGUGAAACCUGGGACAGCCGCAGGGUGCCAGCCACCCAGCAGGUGAGCUGGGAUGGAUGGCCGUUUCAAGCUGGACGUGGAGGACAAUGGAUGCCAUGUUGUCAUGUCUGAGGUGACAUGGACCACAUAAGGUUUUUCCCUGGCUGGGAGUCCCUCCACUGUGGCCAGAAACUAAUUGUGGGGCAAUGUUAGGAAGGGUUCAGGGACCCUUGUCACAAGAGUCAAAUGUCCGUGUUGUCUCCGAGAGCAUCACAGCUGUCAGCACCAAACCUGGUUGUGGUUCCAGCUGCAGCCCCAGGCUGGUUUUGGGUAGAUGGUGGUACGUGGUCCUGGCAGGAGGAAAGCUAGCUUGGGGCUCCUCCACACUAUCCAGCCCCUACCAAACCAAAAUAGGGCAGGCAGCCCUUGGAUGGUCAGGGGAGGAGGCAGCAGGAAGGAGGGGAGACGGUGGGAUGUGGGGAGGGUGCCGAGUGGUGGGUCUCCACAGGAGGACUUGGGCUGAACCUGCAGCCUGGCUAAUGCCACUGCUCCGGCCUGGGUGGGAGCCCUGCCCUGCUCACGAGCUGGUGAGGAGACAGUGACAUUCCUCCCAGUUACUUUGCCUUAAACGCCACCUAAGGCCGUGUACUACCUUUGUUUCCAUAGUGCUGCUGUAAGAGAAUGGAUAAUUGGUCUGCUCCUUGUUUGGCAAACAGGAGUUUAAAGCAAGCCCUCCGUUUCCAGUAGAGUUAGAUUUGAAGCAGUCUGUUGUUUUUUCAUGUGAAUUGCAGUGUCUGACUGUGUAACACUCUUGUCAUGUCAAAAGGGAUUCGUUUACCCCUGUUGGACUCAUUGGCUCUGUCAGCAAAGCUCACUGUUACCGAGUAGGGGAAACAGAUGCUGGGAUGUAUAGGUCCUACAGAAAUCCUACAAAUGUGGUGGUUGAUAUAAAAACCAAACCAAACCCGAUGUUUCAGAACUGGAGGACUGUUUCCAUCCAAUUAUAACACUGCGAGUCACACAUUUUGAUCUUUAAAACCUUGGCAAUGUCCCUCCAGAUCUAUAUUCUCUUUGAAAAAAUAUUGCCUGAAAUAUUUCUGCAGCAACAGUUCAGGCACGAAUUUCCUUUUGUCAGUGAUGUCUGCUCAAGUAAUCAUGACAGUUUCAUACUGUUUUCAUUGAAAGGGCUGUAUCUGUCAGAUACUAAGCCUUACAAAAUAUUGCCUGCUGGAAAAGUGUGUUAUGUGCAGAUUUAUGCAGGGCAGCUCACCAAGUGAAAUUUCUGUGGCAGGGGAUGAAUUCAAGUGGGUCUUGUCAUUAGAUGUUUGAAUAAGAAUUUGAAUCUGUUUUCUGACAAGUAGCUAUUUAGCCUAACCCCUCCCAUCCCCAAAUACUGCAAAGUUAUGAAUUAGGCAUGUGAUCGAAAUAAAGCAAAUUAUGCUCUCUAAAUGCAUAAUUACAUUGGAUGUCCCAGUAGCUGGCAUAUGGAAAUGGAUAUACAUAGUGUAGGUGUGAGUCAUGCCCAUACUUGUCAGUGGCUGUGAACUGGAGGAGUACCCAAGUAGUAGUGUUUAAUCCUGUGGACCAAGAGGACGAGAGGUACCUUUAAAUGACUGCAGUGGUUUUCAGCAGUUGAUUAGUGCUACAGGUAUUCAUGUAUGCAGUGCUGUGCUUCAGGUAUUAGUGCUACGUAGGCAGCGCAGGGACUCAUUUCGGUAGCUGCGGCUCCAGUGAGGCUGUCAGCAUGCUGUCAUCCCGUGCCCGCGCUGCAGUCUCGUCUGCAUCCUGGUGAUGAAGGGCAAGGACAAGGAUCUGCUCGGGUUUGACCCCUUUCCAGAGCAUUGCAGCGAGCACAGCUUUGAGCUUCCUGGUGAACGUGGGCCGUCGUGUUCAGCUGGUGCCCUGUUGAGGGAAGGUGUUCCCCUGUACCGCAUGGGUUGCUGGUGGGGUUUAAUUUUCAGGCCAGUGACCCUAGUCUUCACAGCUUUGCCUCUGGAGAAAAGUGUUGCAACAUGAAUCAGCUCUGUCUCGGUGGUUUGGGGCAAUUCUCUCUUUGAUGGCCAUCGGCAAGGGCUUCUUUUGCACUCCUUCCCUAUGGAAGUACCCUAAUGUGACGUACUUCUCAGCAGAUGUUUCUGCAGCUCCCUGAGGAGUUUGGAAAAGAAAAGGGAUGUCUGUGUACAGUCAAUGAAAACACUCAGUGUGUCACUACAGUGCUAAACUGUUAGUACCAUGUCCUGGUUGCCCCACUUCCAGGUUUUUUAGGCCAGAGGAGAUAGUUAUGGGCAUUUAGUCUGACUCGUGCAUAAAAAGGAUUGUAGGAUUUCAUCUAAUGACUUCCACAUUCAGCUCAAUAAACUAAAGCUGAAAUGGAGCAUAUGCUUCCAAAAGGCAUUCAACUUUUGCAGAACAAAUAAAAUCCUGUCCUCUUUGAAGCCGCUGAUAAGUGCCGUUUGCUUCAGCGGGGCCAGAGUUUCUGACCGAGCUUCCAAGUGACCCAGAAUUUACCACUUCUCUUAUGCCUCUGUCUAAUUAUCCUCACCUAAAAAUUUGCCUUAUUUGGAGCAGUAAGGCAAACAAGAUGUGACCAUCGUUUUUUUUAAGCUCUCUAAACAAACAAAAAAAAGACUGCUUUUUUAAGCUUCACUGAUCGUGUUGAUAUUCUUACUGGGCACUAUGUUUGUGUGUGUUCUUCCCUCACUUCUUUGUUUGUUCUGACAACUAAUCUUUCCUGGAAUGUACAGGUUUUUAUUUUUCAGGAUACUUGAAGAAUGCAAGUCCCAAAGUUUUAAUCACUGGGGUGUGCAAUCCAGCAAGAAUACAGUAUAUGUAGAUGGGUAUGGGGGGAGGGAUAUAUCCAGCUAGCUGCAGUGUAUGAGGUUUAACUAACAAAAUGAAGCAACACAUUGCUAAAUGAGGACUCUAAUACUGUAGCUGCAUUAUGUUGUUUGUAUGAACUUACAUGAGACAUACAUUAUUUUAGCACUGUUAUUACUACUAGUUUAUAAAGCCAUAUUUAAAAUUGUACACUUAAUUGUAACAUAACUUGAAAUUGUGCACUGUGUUGAUCCAUGUAUAUAUAUAUGAAAAUCUGUAUAUUUUGUCUUUAUGCCGUAUGUCACUGGUGUGUAAAUUAUAACUAACGGAUCUAAAAUA